CCUAUCUGUUACUGCCGCUGCCUCUGCCUCUGCCUCUGCCGCUGCCACUGUCGCUGUCGCUGCUGCCGUCGACGUUUCGUUCGGUUGAGUUCGGUGCGUGUGCUGAGCGUUUACUAAACUGGCACACACCAAUACAAACACACGCACGCACACACACACACAGCACAGCACAGCACUCCACUACACAGGCACACUCACACACACGCGACUACUUGUAUGUGUGUGUGUGUGUGUGUGUGUGUGUGUGCUCGACGACGCUGCUUAUAUAAUCAACAACGACAUCGCCAUCGCCAGGCCGCCUAAUGGCUUUGUUUACGCUUUGCUGCAACUGCCACCUGACGCCCCCCCCCCCGUCGCCCACCCCUCUCAUCGCUCUUCAAGCAACGCCCAGGUAAGUGUAGAGCAUGUGACUCAAAGAGUUGCUGCAAUGCCAUCACAAUUCAUUUAUAUAGUUGCUUUGGAUUCCUGAUAAGCCUUAGAUUGAGCGCGUGCUUCAUGCAGUGCGUGUGCGUGUGUGUGUGUGUGUGUGUGUGCGUGACAGGUGUGUGUACACUUUCGAAAUACCAGAAAUUCUUGCGUCAAGUAGCCGCCGUUACUUAUCAAUCGAACAGCCAGCGACGAGCGCUCAAAAUAAUUGUCAAUGGGCCGCAUUCAUUUGUCGUGGCAUUACAAAUUUACACCUGGCGCCCCAGUUACGGGGAACUUUGAUGAUGCAGUUGGCUUAUCAACAGACCGCAGCACAAAGAAAACCAACUGUACAACAUUCGAAGCACCUUUAAUGCCCAGAAACAGUCACAUUUUUCGGUACGCAUCACCUGCACCAAUUGCCACAUGAUGUGUGUGUUUGUGCCAUGUUUUUUUUUUUUAUUCUGCUGUAAUUCCGCAAACGAUUUAUUUCCAGAAUUCGCCAAAUCAUAUGGCAUAUGCAGUUAUAAAAAACAAUAGCAAUAAAUAUAUUUAUAAAUAUUUCUAUGACAGGCUAGACUAGCGUGGAUUAUAUAUGGGUAACUGGGCGUAUGCGUAGAAAACAUUCUCUAGAAAAGAACUUGGAACUAAGUAGGUAGAAUUUACAGGAGCUCUUUGGAACUAAGCAAAUGUAAGAUUAACUAAUUAAAUUACUUUUGCUAUAGAAAAUUGGCUUGUGGAGAACUUUUCUAGAAUUAUAUCUCAGAGCUUAUAAGCCCAACAUUUUGAUGUGUGUUCCCCUACUUUUAUCAUGGGAAAUUUAUGUUAAUUCUUAGAUCUUAAAAUGCUGCCAUUUGUUUUCACACUAAUCU